CCUACGGGAGGCAGCAGUGGGGAAUCUUGCGCAAUGGGCGAAAGCCUGACGCAGCAACGCCGCGUGCGGGAAGAAGGCUUUCGGGCUGUAAACCGCUUUCAGCAGGAACGAAAAUGACGGUACCUGCAGAAGAAGGAGCGGCCAACUAUGUGCCAGCAGCCGCGGUGAUACAUAGGCUUCAAGCGUUGUCCGGAUUUAUUGGGCGUAAAGAGUUCGUAGGCGGUCAAGUAAGUCGGGUGUGAAAAUUCUGGGCUCAACCCAGAGACGCCACCCGAUACUGCUUAACUUGAGUUCGAUAGGGGAGUGGGGAAUUCCUAGUGUAGCGGUGAAAUGCGCAGAUAUUAGGAGGAACACCGGUGGCGAAGGCGCCACUCUGGAUCGAUACUGACGCUGAGGAACGAAAGCAUGGGUAGCAAACAGGAUUAGAUACCCUGGUAGUCCAUGCCGUAAACGGUGGGCACUAGGUGUGGGUUUCUAUUAACGAAAUCCGCGCCGUCGCUAACGCAUUAAGUGCCCCGCCUGGGGAAUCGGUCGCAAGCUAAAACUCAAANANAUGAGCGNGAGAGUGCGAGACGACGACGAGGAGAGG
rnacentral:rRNA from 1 species